rnacentral:rRNA from 1 species
UGUAAUCACGUUCUAACCUUUUGACCGUCAACUUAAAUGACCGUAAGCAAGCUUUCGGCACCUAAGUAACUUUCAGAGAUCAGACGGAUAGCCUAAAAAGGUAUUCGUUGCAAUCCUCGGUCCUAAUCACCACAUCUACCAAAGGCUAUAACACUUCAACCGAAGCCGAAGCUACAUUCCUCCGGUCAUUUUAUGGCAACCAAAACCGACGUUGACCUACCAUACGAAAAAGUACACCUAAGAAAUACGCAUAUUGCAAACAAUGAAGAUCUCAUACGCCCACAAAUGC